UACGUAGGGUGCAAGCGUUGUCCGGAAUUAUUGGGCGUAAAGAGCUCGUAGGCGGUCUGUUGCGUCGGCUGUGAAAACCCGAGGCUCAACCUCGGGCCUGCAGCCGAUACGGGCAGACUAGAGUUGGCAGGGGAGACUGGAAUUCCUGGUGUAGCGGUGAAAUGCGCAGAUAUCAGGAGGAACACCGGUGGCGAAGGCGGGUCUCUGGGCCGAUACUGACGCUGAGGAGCGAAAGCGUGGGGAGCGAACAGG
rnacentral:rRNA from 1 species